GUCAACUUGUGUUUCGCCAGUGAAAUGCUUUUAAUGUGAAGCUGCAGCAGCAGGAAAUGUUCAGUUUGCAUUAGCAGUAACUUAAUACAUUUUUUCAUAGCUUACACUGCAUGAUAAAGCUGAUGUUCUCUUGCACUUGAAGCCAAAGUGUUUGCAAUUUUUUUUUUUUUUUAAAUGUCUUAAUCACUUUAUUACUAAGUAGAAUGUUUAGGAUAACAAUUAACAUUUAAACUAAGUUGCACUCCUUCUCCCAGACUGGAUCGUAUUUCGGCCGAAAAAUGAUGACAGGCUAUCUAUCUGCAAAAGGGGUUAAAGCUUCUGAGGGCAGAGUGGGCAAAGUGUUGAGACGUAUUCAUCAACCCUACCAAAUUGCAAGACAGCAGGGUGCCCGAAAUCUGAACCCCAUACCCUACAAUGCACAAUACAUGGGGCACAAGCUACAUGUCGAUCAGAAUGAAAAGCUUUUAUGCUCGGAGUGACCCAUGUAAUGGCUAUCGAUGGCUUUAGCAAGAAGAUAGUCAGUCACUCCACUAUGCCAGUAAAGAACAUCAUAAUUUAUGAGGAAGUGUACAGACCUGCUGUACUUUCCUAUGGGAUCAGGUCAGAGUUGACUGUGGGAAAGAGUUUUAUCUGGCAUUAUUCAUAUAGGAAAAGCUGGCAGAACACAGACACAAUACUCAAAGGCAGCCUUACCUUCAGACUCCUUCUACAAGGAACCAUGUGAUCGAGAGAAUGUGGUCGGAGGUGAAUGCCAGAGUCAACUACCCUUUGAAGACAGCUUUGGUAGAGCGGGUGGACCAAGAUGAACUGAACAGGAGGACAACACAUCAAAGUAUUGUGUGUCAAACCUGACAUGCCAGAUGGCUAGGAUUGGCAUCACAAAAGUCACAGAGGCAUGGAAUGCACACAGGAUCCCAGGAAAGGGAAUACCAAAUGAACUGGCUAAAGAAGGGUGUCCUGCAAAACUUCCCGAGGAUCUUCUGCCUGGUGGUUCUGUUGCAGCUGACCUGUAUCAGCAGGAAAUGGGAUCCGCGUUGAAAAGGGAAUCCAUUUUUGGAUGCGAUCCUUUCCCCUCAGAAGAGGCCCAACAAUGGACUGAAACUGAGUUUGGUUCUCACUUUGACAUGUUAUCACUGUACGAAAAUGUGGUUCACCAUAACUACGGCCCUUUUAAAGAUGCAGUUAGGUCUCUUAUUGAUUUCACCAGAAGGUGUGUGUGACCUGCAGUGGUCAAUAAAGAAGCAGUAUACUUCCAAAAAUAACAUUUAUUACAGAGGAAAAUGUAAAAGUGGUUUCAGUCCAUAACAAAAUAAAUUGCACUAACAAUGCAAAGUAACUGAUUGUUUACAAUGAAUACACAGCACUUACAAUCUUUGUUUCUUUGUAAAGUCUUUGUUUUAAAUGUAAUUGUCAU